rnacentral:rRNA from 1 species
UACAUGGGGUGCAAACGUUGCUCGGAAUUAUUGGGCGUAAAGCGCGCGUAGGCGGUUACUCAAGUCGGAUGUGAAAGCCCUCGGCUUAACUGAGGAAGUGCACCCGAAACUGAGUAGCUAGAGUACUAAAGAGGGUCGCGGAAUUCCCGGUGUAGAGGUGAAAUUCGUAGAUAUCGGGAGGAACACCGGUGGCGAAGGCGGCGACCUGGGUCGAUACUGACGCUGAGGUGCGAAAGCGUGGGGAGCAAACAGG